rnacentral:rRNA from 1 species
AGAGUUUGAUCAUGGCUCAGAAUCAACGCUGGCGGCGUGCCUAAUACAUGCAAGUCGAACGCGAAAGUCCCGCAAAGGGCAAGUAGAGUGGCAAACGGGUGAGUAACGCGUGGGCGACCUACCUUCGAGUGGGGGAUAACCUUCCGAAAGGAGGGCUAAUACCGCAUGACAUCCCGUGUUUGGAUACACGGACAUCAAAGUCGGGGAUCGCAAGACCUGACGCUUGGAGAGGGGCCUGCGUCCGAUUAGCUAGUUGGUGGGGUAAUGGCCCACCAAGGCUUCGAUCGGUAUCCGGCCUGAGAGGGCGGACGGACACACUGGGACUGAGACACGGCCCAGACUCCUACGGGAGGCAGCAGUAGGGAAUUGUUCGCAAUGGGCGCAAGCCUGACGACGCAACGCCGCGUGGAGGAUGAAGACCUUCGGGUCGUAAACUCCUUUCGAUCGAGAUGAAUACUCGCUGGCCUAAUACGCCGGCGAGCUGACAGUAUCGGGAGAAGAAGCCCCGGCUAACUCCGUGCCAGCAGCCGCGGUA